rnacentral:rRNA from 1 species
UGGGGAAUAUUGCACAAUGGGGGAAACCCUGAUGCAGCGACGCCGCGUGAACGAAGAAGGUAUUCGUAUCGUAAAGUUCUGUCCUAUGGGAAGAUAAUGACAGUACCAUAGAAGAAAGCUCCGGCUAAAUACGUGCCAGCAGCCGCGGUAAUACGUAUGGAGCGAGCGUUUUCCGGAAUUAUUGGGCGUAAAGGGUACGCAGGCGGUUUAAUAAGUCGAAUGUUAAAGAUCGGGGCUCAACCCCGCAAAGCAUUGGAAACUGAUAAACUUGAGUAGUGGAGAGGAAAGUGGAAUUCCUAGUGUAGUGGUGAAAUACGUAGAUAUUAGGAGGAAUACCAGAAGCGAAGGCGACUUUCUGGACACAAACUGACGCGGAGGUACGAAAGCGUGGGGAGCAAACAGG